CUUUUGUUUCGAGCUAAUUCCGCGGUGGAGUCCAAGACGCUGCGAGACAAGACAAGGCAGUUCCGCGGAUUUCCCGCCUAUUUCGCGAUAUCGACGAUCAGGAGUUACAUGUGCACUAAAGUAGAAGAUGAUUUCUGAAGAUAAAUAUUUCAUAUCUGGACACAUCCAGAAAGGACAUGAGCUUGGCUGCUGUUUCUUGGAGAAUAUUUUUUAUAUUCGUCCACAGAAUUAUUUCUUGAUAAAUAAAGUGAUGCUGAAUUCUGCAACAUUCUGCUUUUAUAUUUGGAUUUGGAGUUUACAGCCUAAAAUUGAAGUGAUGGAUAUUUGGAUUAUAUGAGUCUUGAAUUCUCAAUAAUUCGGACUUUACUUUUUGAGAAAGUAUCAGAAGAAUAUCAGGAAGAUGAUGGAUUAACAAACUUAUUUUGAAUUCUGUUACAUUUUGCUUUUAUAUUUGGCUUUGGAUUCUACACCCUAAAAUUGCAGUGAUGGAUAAUUGAUUUAUGUGGAAGUCUUGAAUCCUCGAUGAUUACAACUCUUUCCUUUUUGAAAUAGCAUCAGAAGAAGAAAAGGAAGAAUUCGAAAUGAUGGAGUAACAAACUUAUGCUGAAUUUUGAAACAUUCUGUCUACAGGUAAGUCUUGUAAAUACAUUAUUUUAGUAUUAUUUGUUGACUAUGAAUUUGUAUUCUAUAUGCCAAAAUUUGCAAGUCUGGAAAAUGUCAUCUCAUUAUGCGUUAUGUUUAUUGAUUUUUUUAUUUAGGUGAACACGUCAUUCUGACCAAAUGCCUGUGAUUUUCGAUUUUUGAGCUGAGAUAGGUCUCUAAUGUUAAAUCCACCACAGAGUUUGAGGUCAAAAUUAUUUCAAUAAUCAUUUAGAAUAAGUCCAAGACUUUGAUACCCUCGAAUGGCGCCCAAUUUUCUACGUCAAUUUGGAACUAAGUUGGAAAAAAUGUUUGGUAUCUAAUUUACAAAAAAGAUCUAUAAUCAUAUCUCAGUUCAGAAAAUGAUAUACAUAAAUCAAUUAUCAUGUUAAUAUAACAAUGUAAUUUUUUUACCAUUCCAUUUGAAGAGUUCUGUCAAUGCAUUUUCAUUUAACAUUUUGGUUUCUUGAAUCACUUAUAAUUUAU